rnacentral:misc_RNA from 1 species
GAUGAAGAACGCAGCGAAAUGCGAUACGUAAUGUGAAUUGCAAAUUCAGUGAAUCAUCGAGUCUUUGAACGCACAUUGCGCCCCCUGGUAUUCCGGGGGGCAUGCCUGUCCGAGCGUCAUUGCUGCCCUCAAGCACGGCUUGUGUGUUGGGCCCCGUCCUCCGAUUCCGGGGGACGGGCCCGAAAGGCAGCGGCGGCACCGCGUCCGGUCCUCGAGCGUAUGGGGCUUUGUCACCCGCUCUGUAGGCCCGGCCGGCGCUUGCCGAUCAACCCAAAUUUUUAUCCAGGUUGACCUCGGAUCAGGUAGGGAUACCCGCUGAACUUAAGCAUAUCAAUAAGCGGAGA